GACGAACGCUGGCGGCGUGCUUAACACAUGCAAGUCGAACGGAAAGGCCCUGCUUUUGUGGGGUGCUCGAGAGGCGAACGGGGGAGUAACACGUGAGUAACAUGCACUUGACUUUGGGAUAACUUCAGGGAACUGGGGCUAAUACAGGAUAGGAGAUCCUGCUGCAUGGUGGGGGAUGGAAAGUUUCGGCGGUGGGGGCUGGACUCGCGGCUUAUCAGCUUGUUGGGGGGGUAGUUGCUUACCAAGGCUUUGACGGGUAGCCGGCCUGAGAGGGUGACCGGCCACAUUGGGACUGAGAGACGGCCCAGACUCCUACGGUAGGCAGCAGUGGGGAAUAUUGCACAAUGGGCCGAAGCCUGAUGCAGCAACGCCGCGUGCGUGAUGACGGCCUUCGGGUUGUAAACCGCUUUCGCCUGUGACGAAGCGUGAGUGACGGUAAUGGGUAAAGAAGCACCGGCUAACUACGUG
rnacentral:rRNA from 1 species